rnacentral:rRNA from 1 species
GACAGAGGGUGCAAACGUUGUUCGGAAUUACUGGGCGUAAAGCGCGUGUAGGCGGCUCUGCAAGUCGGGUGUGAAAUCCCAUGGCUCAACCAUGGAAGUGCACUCGAAACUGCAGGGCUAGAGUCCUGGAGAGGAAGGUGGAAUGCUUGGUGUAGAGGUGAAAUUCGUAGAUAUCAAGCGGAACACCGGUGGCGAAGGCGGCCUUCUGGACAGUGACUGACGCUGAGACGCGAAAGCGUGGGGAGCCAACAGG